GGGGCUGUAGCUCAGGGGUUAGAGUGUCUCCUUCGCAUGUUUCUUGCAUUAACACGCGAAGAAGAUUUCCUUCUUAGCAAUAAGAGGAGAAGGUCCGGGGUUCAAAUCCCCGCUGCUCCA